GCGCCUCGUGAAUUCAUCUCCGGGGGUAGAGCACUGUUUCGGCUAGGGGGCCAUCCCGGCUUACCAACCCGAUGCAAACUGCGAAUACCGGAGAAUGUUAUCACGGGAGACACACGGCGGGUGCUAACGUCCGUCGUGAAGAGGGAAACAACCCAGACCGCCAGCUAAGGUCCCAAAGUCAUGGUUAAGUGGGAAACGAUGUGGGAAGGCCCAGACAGCCAGGAUGUUGGCUUAGAAGCAGCCAUCAUUUAAAGAAAGCGUAAUAGCUCACUGGUCGAGUCGGCCUGCGCGGAAGAUGUAACGGGGCUAAACCAUGCACCGAAGCUGCGGCAGCGACACUGUGUGUUGUUGGGUAGGGGAGCGUUCUGUAAGCCUGUGAAGGUGUGUCGUGAGGCAUGCUGGAGGUAUCAGAAGUGCGAAUGCUGACAUAAGUAACGAUAAAGCGGGUGAAAAGCCCGCUCGCCGGAAGACCAAGGGUUCCUGUCCAACGUUAAUCGGGGCAGGGUGAGUCGACCCCUAAGGCGAGGCCGAAAGGCGUAGUCGAUGGGAAACGGGUUAAUAUUCCCGUACUUGGUGUUACUGCGAAGGGGGGACGGAGAAGGCUAUGUUGGCCGGGCGACGGUUGUCCCGGUUUAAGCGUGUAGGUGUGUGUUCCAGGUAAAUCCGGUUCACUUUAACACUGAGGCGUGACGACGAGGCACUACGGUGCUGAAGCAACAAAUGCCCUGCUUCCAGGAAAAGCCUCUAAGCAUCAGGUAACAUCAAAUCGUACCCCAAACCGACACAGGUGGUCAGGUAGAGAAUACCAAGGCGCUUGAGAGAACUCGGGUGAAGGAACUAGGCAAAAUGGUGCCGUAACUUCGGGAGAAGGCACGCUGACACGUAGGUGAAGUGAUUUACUCAUGGAGCUGAAGUCAGUCGAAGAUACCAGCUGGCUGCAACUGUUUAUUAAAAACACAGCACUGUGCAAACACGAAAGUGGACGUAUACGGUGUGACGCCUGCCCGGUGCCGGAAGGUUAAUUGAUGGGGUCAGCGCAAGCGAAGCUCCUGAUCGAAGCCCCGGUAAACGGCGGCCGUAACUAUAACGGUCCUAAGGUAGCGAAAUUCCUUGUCGGGUAAGUUCCGACCUGCACGAAUGGCGUAAUGAUGGCCAGGCUGUCUCCACCCGAGACUCAGUGAAAUUGAACUCGCUGUGAAGAUGCAGUGUACCCGCGGCAAGACGGAAAGACCCCGUGAACCUUUACUAUAGCUUGACACUGAACAUUGAGCCUUGAUGUGUAGGAUAGGUGGGAGGCUUUGAAGUGUGGACGCCAGUCUGCAUGGAGCCGACCUUGAAAUACCACCCUUUAAUGUUUGAUGUUCUAACGUGGACCCGUUACCCGGGUUGCGGACAGUGUCUGGUGGGUAGUUUGACUGGGGCGGUCUCCUCC
rnacentral:rRNA from 2 species